UGUUUUUGCCAAAAUGGGAACAUAUGAAGGGAAGGAAGCAUCUCUAAGUACCUCCAAAUGUUCACUGCACCUUAAACCAAAUACAUACUCACUCUGCUACCGUAUUAUAGCUCUUCAGAUGGAAGCUUAAACAUCUGGCCACAUUUGGAAAGCUACCUUGAAUGACAAUUAACUGCUUUACUAUAUAAGAUAUUCAAAUGGUCACUGUUAGAUGUUGAUUUUAGGAGGCUUUUGACUCUAAAUAUGUUUCUCUCUGUGAAGUCACAGGGGAUGCACCUCAGACAUGUACCACAGACUGUGUUUCUCUAGAUGAUGUGGAGAUAGAGUUCGCUGAGGAGAUUGAAGAGGAUGCCGACUAUAGUAGUGGAUUCCACCUAGCUGGUUUCAGGAGAAGCUUCCGUCUCAGCAGGAAGGACAAGAAGACCAACAAGUCCAUGUAUGAGUGUAAGAAGAGUGAACUGUAUGACAUGGCAGACGUGCCCACAUAUGAGGAGGUCACUGCGUACCGCCGGCAGAGUGGGGCCAAGCACAGACUGGUUGUACUGGUCGGUGAGUACAACUUUGGCAAACAUAU